AGGAUGUGCUGAGUAAAGAUGCUGGGGAGUGUGCAAUAUGCCUGGAAGAGCUGCAGCAAGGAGACACUAUAGCACGACUGCCUUGCCUCUGCAUAUAUCAUAAAGGCUGCAUAGAUGAAUGGUUUGAAGUAAAUAGAUCUUGCCCUGAGCAUCCAUCAGAUUAAGACAAGAUUCAUGUUUUAGCUGCUUCCACUGAUCAGAAAACAUAGGAGAUGUGAGUGAGGUUCCCUUGCUGAACACAGCGUGCCUGGCUUGAGACUUACAGUUCUUUGUGGCUGAAAAAGGCAAAGAUGGACAGUGACAUGGAAAAAGCAUUGCAGACACCGGUUACUUGCCAGUAGCGCUCAGUAUACCAAACACUCACGCAAAGGACACACAGGGAUUUUGAAAAUGCUGCACAUUCUGUAACAAUCGACUCCCCACAGACAUUACUGACACUAUUUUGUAUCGAAGGCCAAAGUUCCGAAUUUCAGCCUAACUUCUGGUUCUGUGACGAAGCAGGUUAUUGGACAUGUUUCCUACUGCCUCAAGUAGAAGCGGAGACGUUCGAUACGUGCUAUCUGAGACCCUUGCAGGAGGGUGGCCCCGGGUUUGAGUGGGAACAUUUUCACCUUCUCGUUGGCUGAAGAAGAGUAAAUGGCAAACUAAAUAUAAUCUAACAGUGUGACCUUAAUUUACUGAAUUCACACCCUGUUUUACGUUCUUCACUUUUUUCCAAGAACCGAAAACAUAAACUUCUCUGCAUAGGAAUACUGUAUUUCAAAAUUUUGUAACUAAACCUUUGUCACAAUGCAGUCCAAAGAGUAAAACCAAGACAGGUAACUAA